GCAGGGUGUUGAUCUGUAUGUCGGUGUUUGGGAGUUUUAUUCAAUAGGAGAAACAACAGUUAUGCAACAGGUGCAAACUGAGUCCAGAUGAAGAAGGUGGUCACUGUUGCCAUGAAGGUAAUAAAAGGCAAUCAGUUGAUACAGGAAGUAGAUAUUGGUCAUGAGAUAUUCAGUAAAUUGUGGUGGUUUCAAAGAAUUGAGGUGCAAUAUCUUUGGAUAUCAUGAUUUUCAGAGGCUGAUGAGAUCCAGUUUGCUAUAUAAAUAUCUGCAAUAUGAGUCUAAAUUAUCCUUGCUGGUGAAAUGGCAUACUCAGAUCGAUCUCAAGUUUCUUUACUAUUGUUUCUAUUCGGACUAAUGCAAAGGUGGAUGAUUGAGAGACAAUGAAUUGUUAUCUGACUAGAGAAAACUGGAGUUUGAAGUCCCAUCGAGCAAUCGAGUAUAGUUCAACAAAGCUCCUACCGACAGAGGCUUCAGGACUAAGAAGGUACACAAGAGGAUCUAGUUCGUUGCUGCUGAUUCUAUAGUCAUGUGCAGCUUCCAUUCUUGCAGUGCCUCCGGCUAUGCCUUACACAAUCAAGCAGGGAAGGGCAAUAGCAAAGUUAAUAUCUAAUUAAAGUCACAAAUAGGUAGGAGUUAUUAUUAUGUUAAGAGUAUAUUCGCGUGACUCGAUGUCUCAAUAUGUUACAUGUAAGCCUUCAACAAUUUUAAUGUUUCAUAUACUCUCAACACGCUAGAUCGCUAAUAUGUGGACUGUGGAUGUGAUUCAUACGCGUACCAAACACAUGAAAGAAGUGAGCCAGUGCUAUGCCGAAAUCGGCGAAAUUUUAAACAUUUAUAUUG